GAAUCAGGGCAGGGGCACUGGCGUUUUAUGCUGAACAUUCAAAAAGUUGCUUCCUGGAGCACCAUGGGCUCUCACCAAGAUUCCCCAUCCAGGCGGUCAGAGAAACAAUCGGAGCCCCCAGCUGAAUUUCUCCAAUUUUUCCAAAUGUCUUUCAGGUGAGUGUUGUCCUUGUCACUGAGGGGUUGACACAGAGGACUAAGACAUGCGACUUCCUACCCUUCCUUCAUCCUCUGUCUAAACAUCACCCAGGAGAUUUGGACUUUGUAAGUACCGUCCUUCUGAUAAUGCGCAGGGCUCCUCUGUUGGUGUGUGGAUAAUCGAACAGCAAUCCAAAUGACCAGUUAGUGUGACUCAGUUGGGAAGACAGAGGAGUAGAAAAUCUAGGACAGACUAGAAAAAUUGCAUGAGAGGGUUGGUAGCCACACCAGAUGAAAUUAAAUAAAAGAUAAACUCUUACAGUUUAACGUCUUUGCACAGCAGAAGUUCGUUGCCAUCUCCUGGGCAGUUUGAGGCAGGUAUUUGAGUGACGUCACGGUGUGGCAGUCUGGACACUUGGCUCCUCCCAUCUUGUGGUCCAGCUGUCCCAGGGCCUUGGGCAAAGAGGGGGUGUGCACAGGCCUUCCAUAGUUCCCUCGGAUUGGAAGCGACACACAUCUUUUCCACUCGCAUUCCUGUUCAGGUCUUCAGUGAUGCAUAGCACAUCGCUCCAAACUUAGCGGCUUAUGGCAAUGACAACAUUCGCUUUGCCCCUGAACUUGCAGUUUGGACAGGGCUUAGUGGGGACAGCUUGUUUCUAAUCCAUUUGGUGUCUCCUGGGAUGGCCUGAAGGCUGAUGGCUGGAGCUGUUAGCCAACUUGCCCCCUCCAUGGAAGGCUGGCGUCUGCCGGUGCAUCAGCUGUGGCCGUAGCCAGAACUUCCACUCUUGGACUUCCCAGGGGGCUGCCUGGGUUCCAGAGUGAGUGUCCCAGGAAGACUGGGCAGAAGCUGUGUUGCCAUUUAUGACGUGGCUUGAUAAACCUCGCAGGUCCAGUCAGGUGAAAGGGAGCAGCGCAGACCCCACUGCUUGAAGCAGGACGGGAGCAUAACGUAAGAUGUGUGACCUGGGCUCUCUUGGUGUGGCUGUCUUUAGACAAUUCCAGCGGUGAAAGCCAGUCUCAUGGGGCCAUCGAGAUGCCAGACGAGCUUGGGAAAUAUAGUCAUAGCUGUGCAGCUGCUUCAAAGUGGCAGUGACAGCAGGAAAGGCCGUUCGGGUUGUAGCGAGCAAGCUUGGCCACAGACAAUAGGGAGAUUUUUCAUGUCACGAAUGGGCCCACGGUCAUGCUCACGGGUCAGGUCGAAUGGGGACGUGUGCAGAGACACUUUUUGGGGCAUUGGCAGAAAAAGUCUUGCUGUGAGCAUCUGAGGUUCUGCUUUGGGGGUAAGUGUGACCAUGAGGUGCCCUGACACCCUCCACCUCCAGUGGGACCAGACAGGCCAGACAGACCCUGGCUCAGCAGAGCAGCUGCGGAAGUCCGGCAAGUGGACACUUGGUCACAGGCUCUGCCCUUGCCUGCGGACACAUCCUCUGGCCCUUUAUUCAUAGAGCUUCUCUGAUUUCCAGUGGAAGUAAAGCAUCGAAGUGAUGAAAGGAAGGCUCUAGAACAUUCAUUCAUCCAUAUAGUUAACACUUUUAAUGAGCUCCUACUAUGUGCCAGGCUCUGUGCUAAGCCCAGGAGAAAGUGUGAACUAGACCCACAGGCGGCAGGGGGGACCCCAGGGCGGGAUUUGUGCCCGGUUUCAGCUGGCAUCUGGCGUGAUUGUGCAGUGCUCAGAAAGACAGGUGGGCGGGUCACAGCGGGUCUGGUGACUUCUGGAGCAGGCUGGUAGCGGGUCAAUUAACGUAAUUUAACUGCCUAGCCCGUAAACGACAUGGUCCCCGCGUCAGACAUGUAAAUCAGCACUGACAGAUGACACGAUAGGGAUAGCCUUGCCGUGCACGUAUCUGGGGGCAAUUAAUUGUAACGGUCUGGAAGGGCAUUUCUGCCUUGAAAUCAGGAGGCAGCUGAAGACAUUCUGUGUGUACUGCUGCCACUAAUCUGCAUUUAAUUGUCAUCGGCAUUCAUUUAGGGUCCUGGCAGCAGAGCUGCCCUGCGUGUCAGCCAGAGUCCUCAGCAGAUCAUGAAGUUACCCUCAGGAGCAUCUCAGGGAUGCCGGCGGCGUCUGUAACAAGUGGCGUUUGGCAUCCACGAAGCGUCCCGACUCAGAAACGACACAAACCAUGAAAGAACUGUCAAAAUUGGGAAUGAAGAAAAUCGCCAGGCGCCUCUGGAUAAGGCUUCUCCCCCACUUGCUCUUGCAAAAGAAAUCGCAGCUCCUUUUUUAUCCUCCCUUUCAGCUGGAGUGGUCGCGCUAAAGUAUGUUUGCUAAAUUGGCAGGGAAUGAGUGGUAUUUAACAAAGAACACAUCAAAUGUGGGACAACUUCAUAGGAAGGGCUUAGCAGGAAAAAUAAAGACGACAAGAGCCCAGGCCCUGGCUGGUUUUGAUGCCUGUCAGGGGACAAGGCUUCAGUGGCCAUUGAGGGAGAUGAAUUGUUUUUUCUUUUUUUUUUUUCAGGAAGCUGAAGCCACAGUGCAGGACGUGCCUCAUUUGACUAUAUAAGAAGUGGCCAUAAAAUCCAAAACUUAAGCAAUCAUCAAAAGCAGGGCGUCUGCAUUUCAAUAGCGUGCUGUCCCUUUAUCAGUAUUUACUGUGGGUGGCUCCAGACUUAAAUGGACUGUCGUUACUCAAAGUAUUCUUGGAAUUCCUCUUCAGAGACUGAAGCACAUUCUCCUUGAGAAUUUUAGCUCUAAAAUCAUUUAGAGACAAAUCUAGGGAGUAAGAUAGAUUUGCAUGCUGAGUCUGAUAUAGAUAUGUGUGUGUGUGUGUGUGUGUGUGUGUGUGUGUGGGCAUGAAAGAGGUGUGCCAUAAAGCAGUGAGAAUGGUUUUCUUAUGUGGAAUUUAAGCCAGCUCUGAGGACCUUUCUUGAGGAGUGCUGCUCCCCUUGUUUGAAAGACGCUGGCAUUGCUCACACACGUCUGUGGCCUACUGUCUCCCAUGCUUGUUUGGCUGUGGGAUCCUUUCUUUAUAGGUCUUUGUUAGCAGCCCAUGUAACCACUGGUCCUCAAAAUGUCCUUUGGGAAAUGCUGAACUAUAGCAAUCACGAAGAAAAAGGACACACAGGAAUGCUCAGGAAGAUAGAAGGGACUUCUGGGGAGAAAUGGUAAAUUGACCUCAGGAAUCUCUUUUUUCUCUCCCCCUGCACCAGUGAAGGAAUAAAAAUGACCUAAACUCUCAAAGGCAGGAGAAGAUCAUAGUAGGCAAAGGAUUCCAGGAGAUUCCUGGGAAAUGAGAAGCCCACGAAUGUGGCAAUGACUCAGGAAGGAGGAGGAAGCUAAAACUCAGAUUCCCGACAGGAGGGGCCUUGAAAGGUGAGCUGAUUUGCACCCAGGGAGGCUUGGGACUGGGAGACCCAAGAUACUGCUUUGCAAGACAGUUUGUUGCUGAGAUGCUGUUAUAGAUCGAAUGCUUGUGUUCUCCCCAAAUUCAUAUGUUGAAACGCUCUAAUGGGAUGGUGUCAGGAGGUGGAACCUUUGGGGAGGUCAUGGGGGUGGGGCCCUCCCCAAUGGGAUUAGCGCCCUUACAUGGGUCACCCGGGAGCUGCCAGGUGAGGACACAAGAAAUCAGCAAUCUCACCAGGACCUCACCAUCCAUGCACCUUGAUCUCGGACUUGCAGCAUCCAGGACUAUGAAAAAUAAAUUUCUGUUGUGUGUAAGCCACUCGGUCUAUAGUAUCCUGUUUUGGCAGCCUGAGCAGACUGAGACAGGGGCUGUAACAGGAAAGCAGGUGGAAUGUCUACAUGAUAAAGGUUAAGUCCCCAGGCACAUCUCCUCCCAGGCUCCCCGUCCAUCAAGAACUAGCGGUUCUGAAGUUCCUGUUGUGGCUCAGCAGAAACGAACAUGACUAGUAUCCAUGAGGAUGUGGGUUCGAUCCCUGGCCUCGCUUAGUGGGUUAAGGAUCGGGCAUUGCUGUGAGCUGUGGUGUAGGUCACAGACAUGGCUUGGAUAUGGUGUUGCUGUGGUUGUGGUGUAGCCUGGCAACUGCAGCUCCGAUUAGACCCCUAGCCUGGGAACUUGCAUAUGCUGCGGGUGUGGCUCUAAAAAACGACGACAACAAAACCGGAAAAACUAGAAGUUCAUUCUUCUUUGGGGAAAUGGAAGCUGAGAGGCUCUGAAUUCUAAGACAUGAGACCAAGAUGUCGAGGGUGGGCAAUGGGAAGGACACUCCUGAAAACAAGGACAUUCAACCCAUUUAUAACGUAUGAUGCCCUCAAAUACUCCUCCCCACCCUGCUUCUAUAGGACUGCUAGCCAAAUGUCCCCAAAGCGGGAGGUCAGUUGAUAGACGAAUCCUCUCUGGAGGCAUUGGAGGGCCCCAGAGAAAUGUCUGCAUGUAUUGACUUUGGGAAUUCUUCCAUUGUAAGGCUGGUUUGCUGAUUUAUCUUCUUAGACUAAAACCUACUAUCUUGCUCUGGCCAUUCUCACUCAGGCCUCAUGAGGUGUCGUCAGGCUUUUAGGAUCUCACUUUUAAAUCUGAAUAACUGCUACAGCUUAGCAAGCAUUUAAGGAAAACCUCCAUCGUAAAGCAAAAUAACCCCCCCCCCCCCCAAUAGUGACACUGAAAAUAAAGAUUGUUGUAGGGAACUGAAGGAAAUGUAAAAAUCAAACAAACUUGCCAUGAAUGCACUUGCAAGAGAAGAGGUGCCAUUGCAUCCUUGAAAUUAGAAUACUUUACUAUUAAAAAGGGAAUAGGACUCACACCAAAAGCACAGGUGGCAAAAGGGGAAGAAAGAGAUAAACUGGACUUCAUCAAACACCUUGUGUAUCAAAGGACACGAUCAGAGAGUGGAAAGACAACCUGCAGAAUGGGGGAAAUAUGUGCAAAUCACAUAUAUGAUAAGGAUUAAUAACAAGGAUAUGAAAAACUGAAAACCCAACAACCAAAAAA
ensembl:lncRNA